UUGCUGGCAGUCUAGUGGUUAGGACUCAGCACUCUUAUUGCCAGGACCCAGGUUCAAUCCCUGGUCAGGGAA
rnacentral:tRNA from 1 species